rnacentral:rRNA from 1 species
AUGACCAAGACAACAUAUAUUAAACAAGCCAAUACAGAGACAAUCCUUUGCUUUUCUUGCUUAGUUUUACCUAAUUAUCAGCAGAUCAAUAAGCUAUAUAGAACCUCCAACCUGUUCACUCUGAAUCCUACUGAAGACCAUCCUAUGGAGAAACAAGAGUACUGGCCCUUCGAGCUACCUACAAGACCCCGAGGUGCACCCGGCCAUGGCAAGGCAGGAGAUGUCGAGAGGAAUUUUCCUCCUGGAUAUUGCAGACACUACGUGCCAUUGCCCAUUACAAAUCUGCCUAGGAGUACAUGGGAAAAUGUUUACAUUUAA